GUGAGGAAUAUUGCGCAAUGGAGGCAACUCUGACGCAGCCAUGCCGCGUGCAGGAAGAAGGCGCUACGCGUUGUAAACUGCUUUUAACCGGGAAGAAACCCCAGGACGUGUCCUGGGUUGACGGUACCGGAGGAAUAAGCACCGGCUAACUUCGUGCCAGCAGCCGCGGUAAUACGAAGGGUGCAAGCGUUAUCCGGAUUCAUUGGGUUUAAAGGGUGCGUAGGCGGAGCGUUAAGUCAGUGGUGAAAUCCUGCAGCUUAACUGUAGACUUGCCAGUGAUACUGGCGCUCUUGAGUGCGCUUGAAGUGGGCGGAAUGUGCCGUGUAGCGGUGAAAUGCUUAGAUAUGGCACAGAACACCAAUUGCGAAGGCAGCUCACUAAGGCGAUACUGACGCUGAGGCACGAAAGCGUGGGGAUCGAACAGGAUUAGAAACCCCGGUAGUCC
rnacentral:rRNA from 1 species